AGCAGCGUAGCUUAGCGGAAAGAGCACGGGCCUGGGAAAUCAGGGACCUGGGCUCUAAUCCCAGCUCUGCCA
rnacentral:tRNA from 1 species